rnacentral:rRNA from 1 species
UGGGGAAUAUUGGACAAUGGGGGCAACCCUGAUCCAGCAAUGCCGCGUGUGUGAAGAAGGUCUUCGGAUUGUAAAGCACUUUCGACGGGGACGAUGAUGACGGUACCCGUAGAAGAAGCCCCGGCUAACUUCAUGCCAGCAGCCGCGGUAAUACGAAGGGGGCUAGCGUUGCUCGGAAUGACUGGGCGUAAAGGGCGUGUAGGCGGUUUACACAGUCAGAUGUGAAAUCCCCGGGCUUAACCUGGGAGCUGCAUUUGAUACGUGUAGACUAGAGUGUGAGAGAGGGUUGUGGAAUUCCCAGUGUAGAGGCGAAAUUCGUAGAUAUUGGGAAGAACACCGGUGGCGAAGGCGGCAACCUGGCUCAUGACUGACGCUGAGGCGCGAAAGCGUGGGGAGCAAANGGAUUAGAUACCCUGGUAGUCCACGCUGUAAACGAUGUGUGCUAGAUGUUGGGUAACUUUGUUAUUCAGUGUCGCAGUUAACGCGUUAAGCACACCGCCUGGG